GAUGAACGCUGACAGAAUGCUUAACACAUGCAAGUCUUUGGCGAAGCUGUGCUUGCACAGCCUAGCCAAGGCGGACGGGUGAGUAACGCGUAAGGAACUUGCCCUGCAGUCAGGGAUAACAGACGGAAACGACUGAUAAGACCUGGUAAAGUCAGGCGGACUCAUGUCCAGCCUGAUGAAAAGAGAUGCUGCAGGAGAGCCUUGCGUCCUAUUAGCUUGUUGGUGGGGUAACGGCCCACCAAGGCGAUGAUAGGUAGCCGGCCUGAGAGGGUGGACGGCCACAAGGGGACUGAGAUACGGCCCUUACUCCUACGGGAGGCAGCAGUGGGGAAUAUUGGACAAUGGGGGCAACUCUGAUCCAGCAAUUCUGUGUGCACGAUGAAGGUUUUCGGAUUGUAAAGUGCUUUCAGCAGGGAAGAAAAAAAUGACGGUACCUGCAGAAGAAGCGACGGCUAAAUACGUG
rnacentral:rRNA from 1 species